rnacentral:rRNA from 1 species
GGGGAAUUUUGGACAAUGGGCGAAAGCCUGAUCCAGCAAUGCCGCGUGCAGGAUGAAGGCCCUCGGGUUGUAAACUGCUUUUGUACGGAACGAAAAGCCUGGGGCUAAUAUCCCCGGGUCAUGACGGUACCGUAAGAAUAAGCACCGGCUAACUACGUGCCAGCAGCCGCGGUAAUACGUAGGGUGCAAGCGUUCAUCGGAAUUACUGGGCGUAAAGCGUGGCAGGCGGUUUUGUAAGACAGUGGUGAAAUCCCCGGGCUCAACCUGGGAACUGCCAUUGUGACUGCAAGGCUAGAGUGCGGCAGAGGGGGAUGGAAUUCCGCGUGUAGCAGUGAAAUGCGUAGAUAUGCGGAGGAACACCGAUGGCGAAGGCGACCCCCUGGACGAAGACUGACGCUCAGGUGCGAAAGCGUGGGGAGCAAAC